rnacentral:rRNA from 2 species
GGACUACCCGGGUUUCUAAUCCUGUUUGCUCCCCUAGCUUUCGUGCCUCAGUGUCAGGAGAUGUCCAGGGACUCGCCUUCGCCACUGGUGUUCCUCUUGAUAUCUACGCAUUUCACUGCUACACCAAGAAUUCCAGUCCCCCCUCCAUUCCUCGAGCAAGGUAGUUUCCAAUGCAGUUUCGGAGUUAAGCUCCGAGAUUUCACAUCCGACUUACCUCACCACCUACGCACCCUUUACGCCCAGUGAAUCCGAACAACGCUUGGGACCUCUGUAUUACCGCGGCGGCUGGCAC